rnacentral:rRNA from 1 species
UACCAGCACCCCGAGGGGCCGGGACAAUUAUUGGGCCUAAAGCAUCCGUAGCCGGCCUUACAAGUCCCCCGUUAAAUCCAACUGCUUAACAGAUGGGCUGCGGAGGAUACUAUAAGACUAGGAGGCAGGAGAGGCAAGCGGUACUCAGUGGGUAGGGGUAAAAUCCGUUGAUCCAUUGAAGACCACCAGUGGCGAAGGCGGCUUGCCAGAAUGCGCUCGACGGUGAGGGAUGAAAGCUGGGGGAGCAAACCGG